AGAAUCAACGCUGGCGGCGUGCCUAACACAUGCAAGUCGAACGAGAAAGUGGAGCAAUCCAUCAGUAAAGUGGCGCACGGGUGAGUAACACGUGACUAACCUACCUUUUAGUGGGGGAUAACCUAGGGAAACCUGGGCUAAUACCGCAUAAUACCUACGGGUCAAAGCAGCAAUGCGCUGAAAGAGGGGGUCGCGGUCGAUUAGUUAGUUGGCAGGGUAAUGGCCUACCAAGACUGUGAUCGAUAUCCGGCCUGAGAGGGCGCACGGACACACUGGAACUGAAACACGGUCCAGACUCCUACGGGAGGCAGCAGUGGGGAAUUUUGCGCAAUGGGGGAAACCCUGACGCAGCAACGCCGCGUGGAGGAUGAAGUCCCUUGGGACGUAAACUCCUUUCGAUCGGGACGAUAAUGACGGUACCGGAAGAAGAAGCCCGGCUAACUUCGCGCCAGCAGCCGC
rnacentral:rRNA from 1 species